UACGUAGGGUCCGAGCGUUGUCCGGAAUUAUUGGGCGUAAAGAGCUCGUAGGCGGUCUGUCGCGUCGGCUGUGAAAUCCCGAGGCUCAACCUCGGGUCUGCAGUCGAUACGGGCAAACUAGAGUAUUGCAGGGGAGACUGGAAUUCCUGGUGUAGCGGUGAAAUGCGCAGAUAUCAGGAGGAACACCAAUGGCGAAGGCAGCUCACUGGGCCGAUACUGACGCUGAGGAGCGAAAGCGUGGGGAGCGAACAGG
rnacentral:rRNA from 1 species